GAGCUCGUAGGUGGUUUGUCGCGUUGUUCGUGAAAACUCACAGCUUAACUGUGGGCGUGCGGGCGAUACGGGCAGACUGGAGUACUGCAGGGGAGACUGGAAUUCCUGGUGUAGCGGUGGAAUGCGCAGAUAUCAGGAGGAACACCGGUGGCGAAGGCGGGUCUCUGGGCAGUAACUGACGCUGAGGAGCGAAAGCGUGGGGAGCGAACAGGAUUAGAUACCCUGGUAGUCCACGCCGUAAACGGUGGGUACUAGGUGUGGGUUUCCUUCCUUGGGAUCCGUGCCGUAGCUAACGCAUUAAGUACCCCGCCUGGGGAGUACGGCCGCAAGGCUAAAACUCAAAGAAAUUGACGGGGGCCCGCACAAGCGGCGGAGCAUGUGGAUUAAUUCGAUGCAACGCGCA
rnacentral:rRNA from 1 species